rnacentral:rRNA from 1 species
GCUUGUCUCAAAGAUUAAGCCAUGCAUGUCUCAGUAUAAGCUUUUACACGGCGAAACUGCGAAUGGCUCAUUAAAACAGUUAUCGUUUCUUUGGUGGUUAUUGAUUACAUGGAUAACCGUGGUAAUUCUAGAGCUAAUACAUGCGCCCAGACCCAACUUUUAGGAAGGGUUGUAUUUAUUAGGUACAGAACCAAUGCAAGCUCCGCUUGACCUUUUGGUGAUUCAUGAUAACUUUGCGAAUCGCAUAGCUUUAAUGCUGGCGAUGGGUCAUUCAAAUUUCUGCCCUAUCA